AGGAUACAAGUGGGAGGACGAGUCCCCUUUCUUCUUCUCACACUGGGGGACCAAUCAGCCAGACGACGCUGGAGGAAAAGAGGACUGUGUCACCUGGAACACGGCGAAGAACACCUGGAAUGAUGAGACGUGCUACGUGGCCCACAACUUCAUCUGUCAGGUUCCCAGAGGAGCUGUGAUCACAACACCAAGGCCAGUGCCAACUGGAAAACCAUCUCUCCAAUGUGGUAACAGCUCCUGGUCUGAGUACAACAACAACUGCUACUACAUAAGUCCAUCGGACGGCGAUGAUGCCACAAAGACCUGGUUUGAGGCCCGCAUUGCAUGUUUGAACAUACGUGGCGAUCUUGUCAGCAUUGGGAAUGAUGAGGAGAACGCUUUCGUCACCUCUCUUGUCAGCCGACACCCUGUGGGAACCUUCUGGAUUGGCCUCAAUGACCUGGACCAGGACACCUUCAA